rnacentral:rRNA from 1 species
UACGUAGGGUGCAAGCGUUUAAUCGGAAUUACUGGGCGUAAAGCGUGCGCAGGCGGUUUUGUAAGUUUGUCGUGAAAGCCCCGGGCUCAACCUGGGAAUUGCGAUGAAGACUGCAAGGCUUGAAUCUGGCAGAGGGGGGUAGAAUUCCACGUGUAGCAGUGAAAUGCGUAGAGAUGUGGAGGAACACCGAUGGCGAAGGCAGCCCCCCUGGGUCAAGAUUGACGCUCAUGCACGAAAGCGUGGGGAGCAAACAGG